GAUGAACGCUGGCGGCGUGCCUAAUACAUGCAAGUCGAGCGGACAGACGAGGAGCUUGCUCCUCUGACGUUAGCGGCGGACGGGUGAGUAACACGUGGAUAACCUACCUAUAAGACUGGGAUAACUUCGGGAAACCGGAGCUAAUACCGGAUAAUAUAUUGAACCGCAUGGUUCAAUAGUGAAAGACGGUUUUGCUGUCACUUAUAGAUGGAUCCGCGCCGCAUUAGCUAGUUGGUAAGGUAACGGCUUACCAAGGCAACGAUGCGUAGACGACCUGACAGGGUGAUCGGCCACACGGGAACGGAGACACGGUCAAGACUCCUACGGGAGGCAGCAGUAGGGAAGCUUCCGCAAUGGGCGAAAGCUUGACGGAGCAACGCCGCGUGAGUGAUGAAGGUCUUCGGAUCGUAAAACUCUGUUAUUAGGGAAGAACAAAUGUGUAAGUAACUAUGCACGUCUUGACGGUACCUAAUCAGAAAGCCACGGCUAACUACGUG
rnacentral:rRNA from 1 species